rnacentral:lncRNA from 1 species
GGGAAACAGUUCUCAUUUUGUGUGCUCGGCUGACUGCACGUCCAGCCUCGGGCCAGCUCGAGACGGCCACAUUGUGAGUCUGUGGGAGGGGUUCUACCGAGACGAAUGGACUUUUCUGAGGCAGGGCCCAGGAGCUGUAAUUCGAGGGGCCUCAGAUCUCCCUGCCACCCACCUGCCAGGGCCUGGUUGAAGAUGGCUGAGCGUAAAACAGAAUGCAAGUCAGCUGGAGCACGUACUACUGGAGGCAGAGCCCCAUGAGAAGGGGCCAAGAACCCGCACCCAUCAAAAUCAAGAAGAAAGGCUGAACCCGGAGAGAAAAGGGAGCAACUGAUGUUGCCAUGCAGAUCCCUUGGUUGCUAUGAGAUGGUAACAUCACUCUGCCCCACCAUUGGCCAGUGCCUCCUCAGCUGCGGUGCCUCCCAGGCUGUGUGGUUCUCACGCGGGCCACUGACACAGAGCUGUUACUAUGGUGAACUUUACAAUUUCCUUUGAUUGGUGGAUUUCAGAAAUAGGCCAUCAGCGGAAUUCAUUAUAUUCAGCUAAGUAAAAAUGAAAAAUAAAUACUAUAACUUUCCCCUCAUCACUAACAUGAAGGAAACGUGACCCUUCAUGACAUAAUAAAUCGCUGUUCGGUAACUUAGGAUCCUUCAGGGGACUGAAGCGGGAUGAUCCUCCUAUGCCAAAUUUGGGUGGGAAAGAUAUUCCCUGUAGCUUUGAGUCGACUCUUCAGAGUUAAGGGCAGUGGGCCAACCAGAGUUGGAACUUCAGAGUUGGGAGGAGGUGUGGGAUGGGGCAUGCAUUGAAAUGUAAACUCUAUUGUCUCUGAAGUGAUGGGUGAUGCUGGGGGCCUGAGUGUGGAGGGCAGUUUUACAUCUCAGGACAAUGUUUUCUCAGAUGCUCUUCCAGAAAGAAAAGCCAGGAGUACUCCUGGCUGGAGGCGGCAUGCCUGAGGUCAGAGUCAAAGUAGGGUUUGUGCUGUCUGAAUCCUUUCUCCCACUCUCCCCAGCCUGGCUCAGCUUCUCAGCUUCUCAGGUGGAUUGGCCUCUGAGCCCAAGCCAAGCCAUCGCAUCCCCUGUGACUUGCCCGUAUAUAUGCCCAGAUGGCCUGAAGUAACUGAAGAAUCACAAAAGAAGUGAAUAUGCCUUGCCCCA